UAGUCAUAUGCUUGUCUCAAAGAUUAAGCCAUGCAUGUCUAAGUUCAUACUGUCCUACGGUGAAACCGCGAAUGGCUCAUUAAAUCAGUCGAGGUUUACUUGAUGAAAAUUAUCCUACUUGGAUAACUGUGGCAAUUCUAGAGCUAAUACAUGCGAACGAAGCUCCGACCCUCGCGGAAAGAGCGCUUUUAUUAGUUCAAAACCAAUCGCCGUGCCCUUCGCGGGGUGCGGCGUCCAAUUGGUGACUCUGGAUAACUUUGUGCUGAUCGCAUGGCCUUCGUGCCGGCGACGCAUCAAUCAAAUGUCUGCCCUAUCAAAUGUCGAUGGUACGUGAUAUGCCUACCAUGUUUGUAACGGGUAACGGGGAAUCAGGGUUCGAUUCCGGAGAGGGAGCAUG
rnacentral:rRNA from 1 species